rnacentral:tRNA from 1 species
GCAGAUGUAGCUCUGUGGUAGAGCACCUACUUGAACAUGAAGAAGGCCCUGGGUUCAACACCCAGCACCCGCA